UAAAAGAAGAAGCCAAAACAGACCCCAUCCUCAUCAAACACAGUUGCACCCUUCACCUCUUUCGUCUGCCAAUUUCACUGAUACAAUCAAUCUGAAGAUCAAACACACUCACAUGUCUGCAUUUCAUCAACCAAAUCUCAUUCUCCAGUCGAAUUCCGUUUCCCCCAAUUUUCACCAUCGGCAGUUGUUCAUAAUUAUUCGUAAUUUGUUCACAAUUAUGACAAAAUUGAGAAUGCAUUUGAAACACCCACACUUAAUGAACGCAAAUGGAUUUACCCUAUAACAAUUGCAUCCAUCAUCGCCCUAUUCCUCCUCUUUCUAACAACCCUAACUUUACCAACCGGCACUCCACUCCUCCCUCUCUACAGUCGUUACACCACUGUCAGCCUUCGUCGAACACAAGCUCCACCCCCUCCCGAUCUCCACACUCCCUCCUCCGCCUCGGUUAGCAUGCCUCGUCUCCGGCUCCAAACGGGACGGUUCCAUGCCCUGGCUACAAUGUACUAAUGUAGAUUUGGUGAUGACUUUUGACGGAGAUCACAAGCAAUGGAUGUUUGGAAAGAAUGGUGCAGUCAAAUUACAACUAGCUGGUUCUGUUCAUCCAUUAUUCACCGGUUCUAUUCAUCCAUCAAUCACCAAAAGGUUGUUACUGUAAGGCUCCAAAUAUGCUCUUUCGUCUUUCUUGUUUUGUUCCACUGCUUUCUUCUUAAAAUCUUCAAGACAGACAAUGAUGUGGAGCUUUACAAACAUAUGACCUAAUUGUAUUGUUACAUAUUAUAAUAGUUGCUACUUUUUGUUGUUUAGUAUGGGAAUGAGUUAUUAAUAGCUGGUAAAUGUAUAUGAUUAUAACCGUACAUGUUUCCUCGAGUGAUGUGGCCGGAGCUAGACAAGCCUUAAUUAGUGGGGUAACAUCUAUAUCAUUCUCUUUAAACUGACCGGAAAAGGUGAUUAUAGAAAAAAGACACUUGAAUAUGUGAAGCUUAAAAGGUGCGGCUGAGACACGAUGAAGAUGAUGGUUUCUUGCUGUCCGAGACAACUCAAGUGACCAGAGAAUUUGUGAAAAAUGAUCAACUUUUUGUAGCAACCUUUAUUUUCCAGUGUUAUUUUGUAUCGACAUUAAUGAAAUAUUGUUAACUUUAUAAUG